CUCCUUGCACGCGGUCUCUCCCUCACGCUUGCUUCCUUCCUGGCUCCCUCAGCACUCUCGCUCUCGCAUCUGGUGCCUGGCACGGCGCGGCACCACGGUCCACCCUACCCUCGCGCAUGCCGCACUACGGCGGCUCCCCUCCUCUCGUGCCCCCACACUCUGCUCCCUUGAACUCCGGCCGCAUCAGGCAACCCCGCAGCGCUGCCUCUCACGGGCACUGCCGUGUCCCAAAGAAGAAACCCUGGCGGAUCAGUGUGGGGCCAGGCUUCGACCGGUGGUCGGCCGGCAACUACGUAACUAGGGCGAGCGGCGGCGCACGGCUAGGCGCAUGGAAGCGGGCCGGCGCUUUAACCGAGCAGUGCUCGCGGCACAGGAAGACGGAGUGAUGGGGUUGAAAGAGUUCCUCACCCCACGUCGAUGGAAGGGCGGCGGACAGGGAGUUUGAAGCUGGUGACUUGGGAUCUCCGGUCGGCGGCACGAGGACGUAGGAAGGGCGUGCGGUCGAAGGGAGCACAAGAGGGUGGAAGUGUUCAGCUUGGCAGUCGGGGCGGAAGGGACUACGGCCUGCGCACUCGUCUCAAUCGGAAACAGGGCGAGCUCCUGAAUGCAACAGUUUCUUAUUUAACUGUUAUCUUCAUGCACUCAAGAUAGGUUGUUGGUGUUGCUGAGGAAGGGGCCAAAAAGCACCCAAGGGGUGAUAAGAUCCAGCUGAAGGUUUGCAGUCAGCAACCAAGAUCUCACAAAGGGGGUUGCUGGUUCUUCUCAGAGAUUUUCUCAAGGCGCUGCAAUAUCAUCUCAUGGACGCUAGGUGGUGAUAGCUUGUUGGAAGAAAGGGUGGAAGGGUGCUGGGAGUAAACUUGAAUGCUUUUGAACUAGGUGCUUUCUUAUGGUGAAUUAGAUGCUGUCUUUGAAUGCUUCUGGACUACAAUCUGUGUUUUAGUUUGUGGACUUGAAUCACUUUUGGUUGAUGAUGACUUAGCUAGAUUAUGUAUUCAGCUAAUCUAUGCAUGCUUGUAUAUUGGCUUGAUGGCACAUGAUUAUAUAUGUACUCAUUUGAUAUGGAUGUAUGAGUAAUGUGCCCAUUUGUGUA